UUUAUUUAUUUUUAUUUAAUUAAGAUUGAUUCUGUCUUUUAAAAUUAGCUAAUUUGAUAAUAUUAGAUACAAGUUUUUGCGAGUUGUUGCUAUUAUCUAAAUGAUAAUUUUUUUUUAUUUGUAGUUUUUAAUUUUGAAUUUUUCAGCAAUGUAGAUUCAUUUAAUUUUUUUAGAUCCGUUAAAGGUUGUGCCAGCAAACGCGGUUAUACAGCUGGUUCAAGUUAAUUUUUUUGGUUAGUAUUUAUUUAUUAUUUUUGGGAUUUAAUUUAAAUUUUAAGGUGAAAUUUUUAAUUUAAAUUAUAUUUUUUUGGUUUAAGAUUAUAUGAAAUUUAGGAUUUAAACUAGGAUUAGAUACCCUAUUAUUCUAAAUGUAAA
rnacentral:rRNA from 1 species